CACGUAGGGGGCGAGCGUUGUCCGGAUUUAUUGGGCGUAAAGAGCUCGUAGGCGGCUCGGUAAGUCGGGUGUGAAACCUCCAGGCUCAACCUGGAGACGCCACCUGAUACUGCUGUGGCUAGAGUCCGGUAGGGGAGUGUGGAACUCCUGGUGUAGCGGUGAAAUUCGUAGAUAUCAGGAGGAACACCGGCGGCGAAGGCGGCUACCUGGUCCACAACUGACGUUCAGGUACGAAAGCGUGGGGAGCAAACAGG
rnacentral:rRNA from 1 species